rnacentral:lncRNA from 1 species
AUAUGACCCACAUAUUAAUUAAUUAAUAGAAAUUUAUAAAAAUGCGUUAUAUAUAGAGAAAUGAGUUGGAAUGUUAUCGGUAGCAAACGAGUUCUAUUGCUACUCAUUUAUUUUCAAUGAUGGAGCCUCUAAAUCGACGAUCAACACCGUUGAACAUGAUCUAUACCACUUGAAGUAUUUGAAAACUAAAUUUUAAAUCUUUUCGACAUUAUUAACCUAAUGAUUAAAGGGUUUCAAAAUUUAUAAUUUUAAUGAUAAAUAUGAGGUGUUUUCUCGUUUAAGGAUGUAAAGCUAUCCAAAUCAAUUGAAGUUUGAUUAGAAAAUUCUUUAAACUAUUUAGAACAAGAUCUAUACUCUCAAUCUUGAUUACAAAAUUUCUAUCAUCACUUUUUAGAAGAUAUUUAUUUUCAGUCGUUCAUUUUUAUUUGCAUUUGAUGGGCAAGAGAACAAUAUUGAAAAAAUAUGAAAUUAAUUUGGUUUAUAGAUAUACUUCAAAUAGUAUAUAUCAUAUUCAACGAUGUCGAUUAUCGAUUUGAAAGCUUCAUCAUAAAAAAUAAAUGGAUGCAACGAAAUCCGUUUGCUACCGAUAGCAUUCCAGCUCAACUCUGUGUGUGUGUGUGUGUGUGUGUGUGUGUGUGUGAAUUGAACAUCCAAUAAGAACCCAAACAAAAACCCCUGUAUAGAUCUAUCCAUAAUGCUCUUCCCCUACUAUAUAAAGCCAAGGAAGGGCUCCAUAUAUUUAUGUCCCUAGCUAGCUUUGUGAAUUCCAACACACCCCAAUUAACACACGCACCCCCUCCCAUAUCUACAGGGCCACCCACAUCCCCUCCUCCUAGGAUAAAACCCUAGCACCCCAAUCUCAUCCUCCCAAUGCCCAACUGCCACGUGUCAACCUCACUCACCACACAAAGCUUUCACCUCCAUGCACGUGAGGACAUGGAGAAGAGAUAAACCCUAGCUAUACGUUUUCUCCAAGUACCUAGCUCCCUCCCUUAAUUCCUCUCCUCGGCCUCCACCGUAGUUGUAAGAGUCAUGGGGGCUGAGAAUAGGGCUAAGUACUCUACCACCCACAUGGCCCCUCGAAACAACCCUAGCCUCCUCCGUCCUCAUCCGAGCUCGCUCUCCGGCGCCCUUAACGGCUGUCUCGGUUGCCUCGACGGCCCGUGCAUAGAGAAGCUCCUGCUCCACUGCGCCGCCGCCCUCGAGGCCAACGACAUAACCGUCGCCCAACAAGUCAUGUGGGUGCUCAACAACGUCGCCUCCGCAAACGGCGACCCCAACCAACGGCUCACCGUUUGGUUUCUUCGUGCUCUCAUUGCCAGGGCCUCUCACCUCUGCCCGACGGCCCUGCCCUUUGCCCUAGACGGCUCGUCGCAGUCGUCUCGAAGGCCAAUGACCGUGACCGAGCUUGCGGGCUACAUCGACCUCACACCGUGGCAUCGAUUCGGUUUCUCAGUCGCCAACCGCGCCAUCCUCCAGGCGGUCCAGGGCCACCGGAAGGUCCACAUCGUCGACUUCAGCGUUACGCACUGCAUGCAGUGGCCGACGCUGAUCGACGAGCUCGCCAAGCGGCCCCAGGGCCCGCCAGUGUCGCUACGAAUCACUGUGCCCUCGGCGCACCCUCCGGUGCCCCCUUCGCUCAAUAUAGCUACCGAGGAGGUAGGACUAAGGCUGAUGAACUUCGCCAAGUUGAGAAACAUCCCCUUAGAGUUCAAGGUACUCAAGACCAACUCCCCGGGUAACUCUUUGAGCUUUCGCCAACAAUUGGUUACCACUCCAUUGGAUCCAUCUUCAUUAGGAUUGCAAGAUGAUGAGGCCCUAAUCGUCAAUUGCCACAACUGGCUAAGAUACUUGUCGGGGGAUUCACAAGGGAAUGAUGAUAAUACAAGAGACUCCUCUUCCAAAGAUGGCUUCUUAGAGUUCAUUCAUGGCCUCAACCCGACCGUCGUGACCAUGACCGACGAGGACGCCGACUUGGACACUCCGAGCCUCUCCUCGAGGAUAAUGGGUUGCUUCAACUACCUUUGGAUACUCUUCGACGCCCUCGAAACCUCCUUCCCGAAGGAAUGCCCGGAAAGAACGGGGUACGAAGCCAACGUCGGCCAAAAGAUCGAGAACAUCAUCCGGUUCGAGGGGAGCCAAAGGAUCGAGAGGUCGGAAUCCGGCGCGCGCUUCGCGCAGCGGAUGAGGCGCGCGGGGUUCGGCGGGGUUUUGUUCGACGAGGAGACGGCGAGGGGGGUGAGGGUGCUGUUGAGCGAGCACGCGAGCGGGUGGGGGAUGAAGAGGGAGGAGGACAUGCUGGUUCUCACGUGGAAGGGGCAUAGCUCGGUUUUUACCAGUGCAUGGGUCCCCAAAGUGAUCUCAUGAAUCUAAGGACUUGUCCUUUGGAGCUAGGAGCCAUGCAUGGGCCAUGGCUUUUGUGGUUUCUCGAUCUUUCCUUACGAAGAGGGGGAGAGAGGGACAAGUCGAGAGAAAACGGCUGGUUUUGUCUUUUGCUUAUCAAAAGGCCAAGUUUUGAGUGGGGAGAGCAAUCUUUAUGGCUUGGGAAUGCACACAAGAUCAGUGGCAGAGCCAGAACUGUGUAAAUUGUCUUUACAUAUAUAUGUGCAUCAGUAAUUACUUGGAAGUGUAGCUUUAACAUGCUCUUCUUAUCUUUUGUUUCAGAUGAGUUGAACUCGCGCGAAGCGCGCGCUGAUAAACUAGAACUUUAAUUUUCUUCUAAGUUGUACUUAGAAAAUUGUCUCCUCAUUCACACCACUGUUUAUUGUACCUUUUAACUUUAUUAGCAAUGAGAAAAGUAAUUAAGGUUAUAUUUCUAAAUUUAGUUUAUUAAAGUGUCCUUCAGGUAUGACUCAACAAUGUUUCCUGUUGAACUUUUUUAGGCAAUUCACUAACACCACAACAAACUGCUAGAGUAUUGAUUAUAUACACAAUUACCUUUAAACCCAGGAUACAUAAUAUUAGAUGCUGGUUCAAAUCACGAUUAAAGCAUAAAUAACAUUGUUAAAAAAGGAACAAAAGAAAAAAUUUCUUCAUGUUUUGACAUAAGAAUAAUAGCUCAUAGAUAUUUUCUUUUUUGAGAAGAUUCAAGACAUAGAUUAGCUGAUUUAUAUGAAUAUGAUUUAUAUGAAUAUGUUUAAGUUCGCUCUGCUAUUUUGAGGUACACAUAUGCAUCCUCCAUUUGAGUAAGAAGAGAACACAAAUUUGGUAUUAUAUUUUGAUUGAAUUAAUUUAUCCAGUAAUGUGUAUAAGAAGCUACAAAAGCAAAUACAUCAGUGAUAGGAUAGAUGACUCUGCACUGACUAAUUAAACCACUGUGACCUGUAAUUCAAAUCGGAUUUGAACUCAAUCUCUACCUUCUCAGUGCUUCUUCAAUGCUUCCAGAUUUUGGCUAAUUAAAAAGUAUUCAAUAAUCGAAACAACACCAACAUUUGUUUUCACGAGCAGAUCCGAUUGAAGACGACAAUUUCAAUGCGUCGAUAAGAGCCGCCAUCGAACAAUGCUACAAUUUCAAUGUGUGGUUAAGAACCGCCAUCGAACAAUGCUGAUCUGUGUCAAAUUAAAACAUCUUAAUGUUUAGAAACACAGGUAUAACUAGGUAAUACAUAUGCUCAAGAAACUAUGUAACCUUGUCGAUGCCAAGUUACAAUGAUUCAGUGGAUUAUUAGAUUGGAGUGAUGAAAACAAACCAAUUGAAUGAAGGAUAGAUUCCAUUGCAAGGUUGAACCAACCACAACAAAUUUCUUACUCCUCACUAAACAUCAAAGUUUCAUUCCAAUCCAACCAUAAAAGUUGGAUACUUCUUUAUGUGAAUUAACUCAAUUAUCCAAGUCAAGUAUGCCUAUCUUAAAUUCUCCCUGAUGUUCUCAACGAAACAGGACAAAUAACACUUAUUUUUUUAACUUAAAACUAGAGGCACACUACAAAUGGUCCAAUUUUAUGAAACUGCAAGUAUAAGAGUAAAAAUUUUGUAUAAAUUCAUAUUCAUAAGCAGUUACGAUAAUUUGUUUUUCUAACUCCUAACUCUACAAUCCAUCGCAUAAAGUGUUUCAAGUUUUUAAGAUUUGAAUAUCCUACUUUGUUAGGUAACAAACCAACACUACUGAUUUCAUAAACAUAGCAAUAGUGCUGUAAAAUGGAUUCACCUGUGAAACCAAAAUUGAAGUGUAAAAAUUUAACAAUUAGAGUUUACCUACGAAACCGAUUGCUUAUUCGGCAUCUUUAAGCUCUUCUUCGAGUACUUAUUCGUCCGUGCGCGCUCAACGAGCUUCUCAGCCUCCUCUGCUCUCGACGCCGCAACCAACCCAUCCACCACUUUCUGCAGCACCGCCGCGUCCGCAAAGCACUUCCGACUCAUGCUAUCGUAGCAACACCUAAGGGCCAAAUCGAAGUCCCCCGCCUCGCAGAGAUGCGGAAUCAGCGCCUCAAAGGUCCCCUUGUUGGGGGCGCAACCGUUCUUCACCAAAUCCAAGUACACUGUUUUGGCCGCCUCCAAAUUCCCAAUUUUGCAAUGCCCUCUUAUUACAGCAUUGAAUGACGAAGUGUCGGGCUUCGGCCCGUCCCUCAUCAUUUGAUCGACGAGCUCCGCCGCCUCCUCGGUUCUCUUUUCCAGAACCAGCCCUCUCAGCUUCGCGUUGAAGCUCUUCACGUCGGGCUCGACGUUCCUCUCCCGCAUCAAGUUCCAAACUUUCUCGGCGUCCGGGAACCUGCCGUGGCCGAAGAAGCCGUUCAGCAGGGUAUUGAAGGAGAUCAGGUCCGGGGAUAUGCCGUGCUGCUCCAUGAGGCUCAGCACGUCGAAUGCGGCGUCGAGGUCGGGUUUUGCGCAGAGGGCGCGGAUGAGGAUGUUGUAGGAACAGAGGUUGGGGACGAUCGAGGGGUCCUCGGCGGGGAUUUGGUCGAAGGCGGCGAGGAGGGCGUCGGGGUUGGAGGAGGAGGAAUCGGCGAGGGCGGUGAGGAGGGCGUUGAAGGAGAGGGCGGAGCGGGGGGCGGAGAGGGAGGGGAGGCGGCGGAAGAGGGCGGCGGCGUGGGAGGGCAUGGAGGCGGCGCCGUAGAGGGAGAUGAGGCGGGCGGAGAAGCCCUCGUGAGAGAGGUCGGAGGGGAAGCGGAGGUGGGAGUCGAGGACGGCGGCGACGGCGUCUGGGCGGCCGGCGGCGGCGAGGCGGCGGACGGCGGAGGAGUAGAUGCGGUGGCGGCAGCGGAAGCGCGGGGAGGCUGCGGCGGCGGCGAUGAAGCNCGGGGGCGGCGCUGCUAGGGUUAGGGUUAGGGUUAGGGUUUGAAGGGGAAGGAGAGGAGGAGAGGAGGCGAGAGAGGCGGGGGCGGACGAGGAGGCGGAGGCGGGAGGAGGAGGAUGAGGAGAAGGACAUGGUUUUCGCGUCUCUUCUCGAAAAAGAAGGGUUUUGGGAAUUUAAUAAGGCUUUAGAGGGUUUAGGAAAAUGGGUCGGGCCAAAUUUUAGGAAAAUGGGGCCCAGUUGGAGUUUUUGCUGUUUCAUUAGAAUUUUUCUAAAAAAAAAGGGUUCCUUAGUCGUGCAACUUGGCCUAUGGGUGUAGGGUGCAUAACAAACUAAGACUUAGUUUGGUAUUAAAAUCUAUCUGAGGUUAUUAAAUAAAAUAGAGUUGGAAUAAAAUUAUAUAGGGAUAUGUUUCUGCGUUCUACAGUGAGACCGUAGAAAAUAUAUCGUAUCUUAACCGACCCAUCACGAUAUGCGGAACGUAAUAUUACGUAAGGAAACAAACAGACUAUUUUCUCAUCACACAAUUUCCUCGCAAUUCCAAAUGAAGUUUAAAUUUUUAGUCAUUUAAAAAUAAUACGAAUGAAGUUUUCAGUCAUUUAAAUUUUAAUAUUUUAAUUUGAUUUGCGUCUUGAAGUACAAAUUAUUUGUCAAUGUUUGGGGUGCUUUUUUAAACCCCCAACAUAAAGAGCUGGAACUUCCAACAGUAUUGCCUUCCUAAUUUUUAUUAAUCUCAAAUUAGCCUCUGAUCAUUCAUGGCAAUGCCAUGCUUUAAGAAUGGAGUCUUUUCUUGACACAGUUAAUGAAUGAUUUUUUUUUUAGUUUUUUUAAUUUAAUUGUUUCAGCAAAGAAGAUCUUGAAUGAGUAUUGAUUUUAAUGUUUUGAGGGGAGUAAAAAUAAAUUAGAAUUGAUGGAAUUAUGCAACUGAAGAACAAAACAAAAAAAUAAAAAAUAAAAAAUCAAGCAAUGAAAAACCCAUGAACUAUAUUUAACACAUUAUAAAAAGAAAGAAAAGAAUAGCUCUGAGAAACAUAAAAUAUCAUGUGCAAAUUUUUGACCACAACCACUUAUAUGAUUCUAGGUAUAAUAAUCAUUUACGAUUUUACAGACCCAAUCCAUCAUCCAAAAAAUUGGCCAAUUUUUCUUAAAAAAAAUUGCUAAUAAAUCACUGUUGUGGAGUCACUUAAUCACCCAUUUCCCUCUCAAUAUAAGUGAAGGACCCCAAAAAAAAAAAAAAAAACUUUUUUAGGUUGAGAAAAAGAAAACAGGGGGAAAGUGACAAAGUGAUAGUUAAUUAAGCAAUCAAUAUAUAAAUAAGAGUAUAAUUAAUUGGCUAUUUUAGGUGGUGUGGCACACUAUAAAGCAUUUCUUAAACAAGAAAAUUGAGUACAGUGUGACCAAUCACCCAACAAUAUUAACUGCUCCCGCCAAAACCCAUCUUGCUAAAGGGAUUGAACACUUGUUACCUGGAUUGGGUUCACCACUUCAUCCAUGGACCAAGUGACAAAGAGCAAAGGAUCAUCAGUCAAAUCAGAAACUCGGACUUCAAGCUUUUAUUUUUUUAGCAUUUAAGGUCCACUCCACGGGUUCAUUUGGUAUUAAAAAUCGGCUAAGACUUCUGAUGAAAAAAAUAACUAAGAGCGAAUUCUUCAACCAGACCACAAAAUAUAUUUUAAUCAAGUUAUUGUCAUAUACACAAUGUGUCUUUUUUUUGCCGCACAUAAUCUAACUGUAAUCCUAAAUAAAUGUCGUCACAAAAAUUUACAAAUUUUCUAACUAUCAAAUAUUUUGUAAUAAGUAAUUAUAACCAAAAGCAUAAUAAAAAAUAGAAUCAGACUCUUAUAUUUUCUCAAACACUCUAUAAAAUUGGCUAUGUAGCUAAAAGCAUAAGUAGAAGCAAAAAAACAGCUAAUAGAGACGCGAAACGGUUUCCUGGUAUAUAAUUUGACCGGUCUAGUAGACCCGGUCCAGCUAAUAGUCUGUAUCGACCCAAACAGAAUCGUACGGCCUCUCACAGUCCUUUCGCCGCCACCAUGAGAUUGAUUCCUCGUCCCCCAUGUCCUGUAAAAAACGUUGGAGUUAGAGAGAGAGAGUAGAGAGUAGUGAAUCGAGAGUUACUUGUUGGGGAAAGCAGAAGUUUCUACAGCGAACAACAACCAAUGCCGCGGCGGCCGCGGGGCGCUGCUGCAUCGCAGGCCGCCGAGGCGGAGGCGGAGGCGGAGGCGGAGUUAGAGGCGGAGCUGCAGGGCGACUUCGUCGACUCCGUGCUCGACAUGGAGGGUGGCAUCGGCGGGGAGACGCCGAUGGAGAAGUGGGAGAUGAGGUUCAAGUCGAAGAAUCUGGAGGCCGAGAGGAGGAGGAGGGGGAAGCUCAACACCAACAUCUUGGCCCUCCGUGCUAUCGUGCCCAAAAUCACCAAGGUUCAAUUUUUUUUUUCUCUUUAUUUCCCCUUUUUUCCAAUUUUUUUUUUUAGUUAUCUUUUUUUUUAAUUAUUAUUAAUGUAGUAAGGACCACCCCGCUUAAUUAUUAUUAGGCUAUUAAUUUUGGAAAUUAUUUGUGUAACUUUGUUGUUUUUUUCUUUAAUAAAAAAAUAUUUAAUCGGAGUUGUUAUAGAUAGUUUAAUUAAGGACUAUAUCAGACUUAUUAAUGGUUUUUUUAUCUGUUAGUUGUGGAUUAUUGGUGGAACUUGUAGUCUUAUUGUUUGCUAAAAAAUGAUUAAAAAUGUUAAAUUUAACAGCAUUUUUAUUAAAUUUAUUAAAAUUUUUAUGUAACUGAUUUGAAAUUGCUAAAAUAAAAAAAAAAGUUGGGAUGGGAUGGUCUCUAUAUAUUUUACAAUUUUACAAUAAACAAUCUGGUAAAAGGAAAAAAAAAAAAAAAAAAAAAAAAAAAAACAACAUGACAAUCAACAGUUCCUAAUGUAAGUGACAAAAAAUUUAAUGAUUGGAACAAAAAGUUUUAAGUUCAAAGUUUAANAAAACUCUUCUUUGCUGUUGUUAAGGAAUUGUUUUUGGUGAUUUUAGAUGAGCAAGGAAUCGACCCUCACCGACGCGAUCGAUUACAUUACGCUGCUGCAGAAGCAAGUGCUUGAUCUACAAACAGAGCUCUUAGAAACAGAUGGAGAUCUUAUUCAUAAAAAUGAAGCAAAUGAAGAUGAGGAGGGAGAGAAGCAGAGGAGUCCAAGUUCUGAAACAGUUGCUCCCUCUGUGACAGUGCAAUGUCAGGUAAUUUAGUUUUUUUAUUUUUCAAGAAAAUUAAAAUGAUAGAUAAAUUAAAUAUUUUGAGUUUCCAAAGUAGAAGUUUAAAAGUAAAUUAUUAUGAAAAGCAAUUGAUAUAUUGGUUUUUUCUUUAAGAAGAGAUUUUAAUAGAAACAUCCAAUAAAAGGAGAAAAGAAUAGGAGGUGAUAGAGAUUAAGCUAAAAAAAUUUGUUAAACUUAAAAUACUAAAAAAAAACACUUGGCGAGGAUGGUCUCUAAUGUGAGACCGUCACAUUUGUCAUUCAUGUGGCUUUGAAAUUCGUGUCAUUCACGUGAUUAAUAGCAGAUAGGAUAGUCUUGAAAUUGAGGACUGUUCCCAUCAAAUUUGUGUUGUUCUGUGUUUUGCUGUACAUUUAGUAUAAUAGUGAAAGUAUACAAUGAAAUGCAUGGGGAGGUGGUUUGGAUGUGGAGGAUAAACAUUUCAAUGCUCAAAAAGAGGAAGAAGAAAAAAAAAGACAAAAUAAUUUUUUUGGUGUUGUAGCAUUUUGUCUCCUAACCACUUUAGAAAUGCUUGAUACUCUUUGCCAACAGGGGCAGGUUGAGCUAAUACCUAUGGGCCCAAACAAGUACCAGCUGAAGAUAAUGUGCAAGAACAGGAUGGGGCAGUUCACCAAAGUUCUAGAAGCUCUGAGCUGCUUCAAUGCAGAGGUUGCUGAAAUAAGCUCUGUGGCCUUCUUCGGCUUCUCGAAGAGCGUGUUCUCCGUUGAGGUGAGUCCACACAAACUAAAAUAUCCUUCUACUAGUGAAGUAAGUGAUUAAUUGUUUAUGUUUUUCUUUUUUUUUUCUCUUUGUAUAGGUGAAGGAAGGAGAAGAGGGUGAAAUCAUAGAAUUAAGAAAUCUUUUGUUAGCACUUGUUGGAGCCUCGGAAAAUUGAGCUGCUUCAGAAUUGAUCUUUAUGACUUUGAUUUGAAGCCACUAAAUGUUACAUGCUUUUGUAGUUUAUAACAAAUGUCAGCAAUAUAAACAUAUAGAACAACUUGUGGUUCCUAGCAAUUGAAUCUUAUGCAGAAUUACAAAAUAAUAUAUGAUUAGUUGAAAAGCUUAUUGAGUAUGGAUAUUAAGCUAAAUUUUUUGUUCUACUUGUGGGCUAGUAUUAAAAAUUUUUAAUACUAGCCUUUUCUAUCUUUUCUAGUAACUUAAAUCAUUUACAGUGGCAUUUUUGUUUAGCUCUUUCACACAUUGGUUUCUGAUUGUGAUACUUUCAACAAAAAACCUAAGUAAUAAAAUGGAGGUUAAUUAGAUUUUUACCAUAUUUAAUGUAGUAAAAUAAUGCAGCUUUUACUAUUUGUAACUUUUAUUAUUUAUCUACAUGGUCUUGGUAAAUGGUAAAUGGUAAUUUUUUGGGUUUCUUCCAAGGAAGCCUUAUAGGCCAUGUGCUUAUAGGCCUCGGCAAAUUAGCUCUACUGGGUGAAUUCAUGAAAUAAACUGCUAAGGAAUGCGAGGAAAUAUAAGACGAAAAGCAUGAACAACUACUACAAGCAUAUAAAUUCUUCGAAAAUGAGAAGAAACUUGGCGGACGACGCUAACUUGCUAAGAUUAUUUACUUUUUUUUAUAAAAGAGAAUUGUAUUAUUAUCCAAUUGAUGCUGAACCAAUCUUUUCCCAACAUAUAGGCUAAUCACUCCACUAAAAUGCCAAGUGUUGUGCCUUGGGCAUUGUACUUUUCCUUUGUUUAGAAGGAUCAAUAAAAAAAGAAGAAUCUUUCAGGCUGAAUCAAAUGUACAUUGUCAUGGCCUUGUCUCCAACUUGGUAUAGUUUUGGUUCAUUUUAGUAUAAAAGCAAAUCAGUAACUUUGUAUGAUAAUUCAAUUGCCGACAUACGGAUAUCUAACAAGUGACAGCAGACAUCAGUAAGCAGCAAGAAGAAUCUAUGGGCUACAAGAUCGAGACUUUAUCGCUCGUGUGCAGAGAUCGUAAUUAACAAAACAGCAAAUGCAGAGAGAUUCCGAGUCACUCCGAGGUUCAGUGAGGUGGCAUUGAUCUGUCUAUCAGAUUUUUGAAUGACCAUGUCACCGAUUCUAAGUACAUUUGAAGCAAUUUUCCAAUUUAAUUAUGUGAAAGACAACUCAUUCUCAUAGUAUCUGCUAUUCUGCAGGUCAAAAGGACCAAAACUUAGUCAUGCAAUUCAGAUUAGAUACUCACAUAUCAGGAAGCUUCCAUUUCAUAAAUUUAUAAAUAAUGCCAACCAAAGGUAGAUUGCUUUCGAUCUGCGGUACAAAUUUUGGCUUUAUCAUAAGUCGAAACAGUAUUAUAUACGGUAAUGAAUCGUCAAAGGCCUUUUUGUUUCUCGUCUCAGGGACAUCAAUUAGACGCUCACUUGAGAGUUGGUAACACAUAAUGUGCACAUUAAGAUCUUAUUUUAUCUUGGGAUAAUAUAAGGACAAUGUAAAAUGAUCUGAAACACCCUAAUUGAACUCCGGCAUAUUUGUCUAAAAGUUAUGAAAUGGCCAUUAAACACAAAUUGAAACCAAAUUAGCUUUUGGUACUAAUUGUAAAAUUUGCCUUGGCAAACUUACUAAAAAGAUCUAAUCAUUCAAUUUUUGUUGAUCCUACAUUAGAAAAGUAUGCCUUUAUGCUCCGAUAUAGCAAAAUACCGUCGAAUUAAGAAAAGGAAAGUUAACUAGAGAAGAAGCAAUUAGUCCAUCAAAAUAUAUAGACAAUAAGGCCGCACGGGGGUAGCUGUCACAAAUGAAGAAGCAGAGAGAGGACAUCCUCGCGCACGAAGAAGCUCCUGUCUCAUAAAAUUUGUUAUAGUGCCAACUAAGCGAAAAAUAUUUAUAUGCCAACAAAGUGAUGAGCGAAGAUGUCGAGUUUGGUGAUCAUCUAUUGAACUCAAUUAAGUCCAAUGUUUUACUCAAAAUAAAAAAGUCCAAAGUUUCUGAUCUGAAGAGCGUUAAGGGAAUACUCCUAUCACCUCUUAGACCCGUUACAAUUUUACACGAGUAUAUUGUUUCUACCGAAACAACACUUUUGUAAAAAUUCCGAAUAGUUAGAAUAGUAAUAAUGAACAUUAUUGCGAGUGAACCGAUUUUAAGGGCUUCGUCUUUAGACUAAGUUUCUUCUGAGAAUUCGCAAUCAACUGUUAAAAUAGUUUGAGCAGAGCAUCAUUUAAAUUUGAUUAAUUUGCUGUAAAAUGUGAUCCUGCUGUACCCCUCAAUGUACACUGCAAUGCACCAUUUUCCAAGAGGCUUCUAUAAAUCAAUUUCAGAUUCUAGUGUAGGACACAAGUCCUGCUACUCACCCCAAUGAGAAAACCCAGUUGUUAAUUAAUCCUUGUCAUUAUGUAAAGAAACAGGUGUCACUCCUUAAUAAAACCAUCCACCCCAGUAAUCACCUCCCUUAAUCAAUAAAAAAAACUUUGUUUUGUGUAACAUAAAUUAAUAAUAAAUCAGUGUGACUUUCCCACUACCUGAAAUUAAGAUCCAACAUUGAAAGCCCCCCCCACCCAACACUCCUUGUAUCUAACUUAGUAAACUAAUCCAAUCCUUUCACACCAAACUUAACAAACAAAGUCAUUAACAAACCUCUAUGUAUAAGCCCUUAUAUAAGGCCACAAAUCUCCACUCUUUUGUACUACAAAUUCUCUCUUCAUCUUUCUUUGUGUUCCAAGUUUGAGACACUGCAGUAAACCAUCGAUGGCUCGCGUGAUUCUGUUCUGUGUAUUAGCUGCUGAUAUUGUUACGACUCUCGCAACGGCUCGAUCAUUUCCGACUGUCGAUAGGACCACUGCAAUUCAGAUUGAUAGGCCAAUGGUUGCUGAUCCCCCUUCUUCUUCCUCUUCUUCUUAUGCUGUAACUUCUAGUGCUUCUUUCGAGUCGAGACCUGCGGAGGGGCCUGCAAGCUUUCAUCCACAUGUGAAGCACCGGCCGUUCGACCGAUCUCUCGCCGGAGGGAAGAUCAUACUUGGAGGGCUUGCGGCCGCCAUUUUUGCCGCUGUUUUCUGCUACAUUCGCAUCACUAGGCGGAAAAGCGGAGAGCCAAAGUCUUGAAACUGUUCAAUUUUUUUUUCUAUCUCUUUUGCUUCUUCUUUGGCCACCCUUGUAAGAUUACAUAUAUUGUUACAGACAAAUUGUAUCCUUUUGAUAUUGUGUCAUACAGAAAGAAUUAAAUGACAUGAUUGCAAAUGUUACAGAAGUUUCAAACUAUUGAUCAGGGCAUUGAUCAGAGGAUUAUGCAAUUAAAAUUAAGAGUUCAAAUCAAAAAAGGAAAGAAAUAAAUAUGGUUAUUCGAGAUAAUCUGAGGAAAAAUGCAAUCUUGAAUAAUGUUAGUAAUCAAUGCAUUUCUUUAAAAGUAAAGUAUAACCAAUAAAUUUUAUGGGCCUUUUGAUAAUUUAGUCAUAUUAUCACUUCACAAACAAAAGGAUAAUUUAGUCUCUAUUAGUAAUCUCACUCCAUACAUGAGGAACUAUUUUUUUUUUAACUUUGCUUUUGAAAAGCUAAUGAGAUACUAAUUAAGCUAUAUUCUAAAGAUAUCUUUCUCCCAAAUUUCUCUUUUUGGAAAGAAAUGAUUGAACUCCUUUUUGUGGUGAAGAUUUAGUUGUACUAUUCAUGCACAAAAAAGUUACUUGAGCACUAAUCUGAGCACUAAUCUCGCGCAAGUCGAAAUCUUUAUACGAAACCAAAUUACUCCAUUAGUUACAAUUUCAAGCGUGCAAAAUUCUCGACUUCAUGUCGGAUCAAAAGAAGAAGCAGCAGCAGAAGAAGGAAAAAAACAAAUUGCACUUCAUAUUAGACUAGUUUUCUGCAAUUUUCAAAGUGAUCAGGAGAUAUGGCUAGUAUUACAGCUGGCAGGAACUUCGAACUUCCUACAUCUUCAACAUCAAGUUUGAUAAAUUAAAUACGAUAAUUAUGAUGCUGGUUUAUGUUAAUGCUUUAAUUGCUCACUAUCUAUGUACAGAGAUGUAAUGCUACAGUACAGAAACAUAUAAACAAUCAAUCCAUCAGUAACUUCUUUUUUUUUCCCUUUUUUUUCGGAAGAAUCCAUCAUUAACUUUUAACUUACUACCGACUGUUCUUAGAGCAAGUGGCAAAGAACUUAAUGGUUGGUACCCGAGACCCAAGUUCGAAUCCUAGUUGAUUCACAUUUUCAGCUAAGUUUAUUUCUAAGUGAAACAAACGAAGCGGGUAGCGUGCUACCUGUCUCUCAAAAAAAACUUUUAACUUACUACAGAGACAGAGAUGGUACUCAAAGUAUGAUUAUAGCAGUUCGGGAGGCAAAACAUUUCUAUAUAAUAACCUUUUCAUACAAUAUUGGUGGUUGGUACUCUUGAUUGUCUCUAAUGAGUCAAAACACACACACACACACACACACACCAUGUUCUUGUGGGACUUAAUUAUGAAUCGAAGGCGAUUAGCGAGUAUAACAAUAUGGAAACAUCGAAACAUAGAGAACCUUACAGAGUACACAUUGCAGGGGGAAACAACUUGUGCCAUAACUAAACUAUAUUUUUUUAUCUUUGAACGUGCGCGUACUUUUAAUACUAAUGAUGCAGGUGUUCUAUGGAUAAGUAGCAUUAUGUCUCCUGAUCUCUAACAUUUCCUGAAAAUAUGCAAAUGAAAAUGGUACAUAUAUAUUAUUUUUCAUUCACUUCCAAUAAUACACUGAUACAACUUAAGUUUUAACUAUAAUUAAAGUAUGGACACAUUUAAUUAACCAAGGUAAAGCUUACAAUUUUACACAUUAGAGAGGCUAAAUUACAGAAAAUCCCCUUGUAAUAACCCGCUUUUUUACUUUCGCCCCCUGACAUUUAAAAACCUACACUUUGCCCUCUUGUAAAAUGAAAAAUCUGCAUUUCAUCCCCUACCGUUAAGGUUCUGUUAUAAAAUAUUUUUUUAUGCCGAAAAUACCCCUCCGCCCUCUUUCUUAUUGCUUCGCCUCCCUCCGGCUCGCCGCCUCGCCGUCCUCCACUGCCUCGCCUUCACCUACAUCCCUUUCGCCCUCCUCCGCCGCAUCGCCUUCGUCCUUGUUGCCCUUGCCUACCUCUCCAUCAACACCCACCUCGAUUUUCUCCCUACUAUCGUCGAAAUCGAGAGACGGCGAGGAUGCAGGAGGAGAAGAGGAGUAGGUGGAGAAGAAAAUGGAUAGAUAUUGCGGCCAAUUGAGGUGGGAAUCGUGGUCGAUCGAAGGGACGGCUGAGGAAGAUGAGGAAGAAGACGAAAAUGGCGAGGGGCGAAAUGGUCAUUUUACAUAACGUAAUCCCCCUAUAAAUAUUUUUUAUUUUAAAAAAGAUAAAGUGUAGAUUUUAAAUGUCAGAAGAAAAAAGUAAAAAAACGGAUUAUUACAGAGAUUUUUUUGUAAUUUAGCCUAUUAUAUAUUAAGCUACAUUUAUGCCUUUCCUAUUUAAGGUAAGGAAGAUCCAAUUGAAACCCAGCUCUAAAACAAGCUAAAUGGAUAUGGAUUUGGUUUUAUUGCUUGUUAUUCGAUGAACUCGAAAACAUUCCCUAACACAUAAAAAAAUAAAGUAAAAGAAAAUUAAAAGGACCUAAUAAAACACCAAUGAGUGAGUAGUAUUUACUGAGCUAUCAUUGGAAUGGACCACGCAGAAAUUCUCUUUCCCAUCUGAAGUAAGAUCUAGCUGUCCAUUCUUUAAUUUAUAGUGCUACAGGUGUCAUUUCUAUAACUGCAGUCCUAUCACAAAUGAGAAUACUAUUCAAGCAACCUAUUUUAGUCAUAUCAUCUUAAAUUAAAAUUUUCUUAUAAUCUUUGCUGUUUCACAAAUAAAACUAGAAAUGCAAACGACAAACGAGACGGAUUCGGAGGCGGAGAAGGACUGACUUUUAUCUUUUUUUUUUUUUUUUGUCUACAGUACUUAUCGAUUUAUUCUGAAUAGAUCAGAAUAAAAGAGAAUUAGGACGGAUUAAAGGAAAAAAACAAGGGUCCCCUAUUUUUUGCUGCUUUUUUUUUUUUUUUAGGUAGAAGCGGAUUCAGGACGAGUGAUGUUAUUUUUUAUUUUCGCUCUCUAGCUAGUUAUUCGGAAUGCAUCGGGACAGAAGCUAGCUCCACCAAACUUAGAGAUUUAUUAACUUAAUAUAUUGUCAUAAAAAAUUCUAUAAAUUGUUUGUUUGGCAAACAAAAAAUAUUUAAAAAAUUAUAUAUAGUAUAUUUUUAAAAAAUAGGAGGUGCAUGCAACACCAGCUGCCAAUGGGCCUGUAAUGAAAGGAAUCUUCACUGAAAUCUACCACCACCUAACUACAUAAAAAGUGCCCCACUGUCUUUUACCAAAAAUAAAAACAAAACCAAAAAUAAAAUAAAAUAAAAUAAAAUAAAAUAAAAAAGCAGUAAUUCAUAUCAUGCAACACAACUCCCCCUCAACUCCACCCUUGUAUAAAGGGCUUACUGCAACAACAAGAGAGCUCCAAAAAUCUCUAACCCCAACAAUCACCAUCAAUGGCUCCUCCCCUCCCUCCUCAUUUCUUCUCUCUUUUACUUCUUGCUAAUCUCCUCGUCAUCGUCGCUGUAGCUCGGCCUCUUUCGACGGUCGAAAGAGCCAAUGCAGGUGAGCCCACUAUGGCUUAUGCACCAUCUUCAAGCUUGAAUCCAAUUGAACUACAUAUGACAACUUUUGCGGGCGCACCGGAGAUCAGCCUGCCUCAUCAUCGACAGCAUCGAGCCUUCGACAAAUCGUUCGCGGGAGGGGAAGUGAUCCUCGGUGGGCUCGCCACUGCGAUCCUCGCCGCCGUCUUCUGCUACAUUAGAGUCACUAGGGAAAGAGUGGAAGAUGAGAAAUCUUGAAGUGGUUGUAUUAACAUGUUUUGCUUAAACAAGUUUUACAAAUGCUACUUUAAGUGAAAAUCAAUGUAUAAAGAGGCCAUCUUGGAUAUUGAAAUGGAUAGGAUAUGUUGUGUAAAAUAUUCUUCUAUGUUUUUCCCCAUUUUCCUUAGUUUUGUUUAAAUUUAAAUAGGUUCUGCCACUCUUGCAAAAAAUGGCUACAGCUAUUGUUUAUUGCUUACUUAAUUCAUCAUUGUUUUUUUUUUUUUUUUCCUUUCGUACAUAUGUCAUUACUUUUCUUCUUUUGGUUUCUCUUCUUCUCAUAAAAUGUAGAGAUCAUAAACAUGUGGAGUAGGUGUUGAAUCAUUACUUCACCCUUUGCUUAAAAUUAACCCUUCACAAUACUUCAAUCAUUUGAUGCUUAAUUAUCAAAAUAAAUUAAUGGCAAAAGGAAAGAGCCAUAUACAUUGUACAAAAAAAGAAAAAGAAAAAAGAAAAAAGAAAAGUAGGGGUGGGGCCAAACUUUCUCCAUGAGCUUGUGGUUUUCAAUUAGUUGUCAUUAGUGUUUAGUAUCUUGUAGAUGUUAGGUCAGGUCUCUAGCCAAAGAAAGGUUUAUUGAAUACAUGUGGACUUAAUUUGUUCAAUUAAGAUCUUAUAAUUAAUGCAAUCACACCCCAUUUAUCUUUGCUAACAUAGAUAUUUUCCAAACUCGAAUUAAGCUCUAGAUUUGGUUUCCAUUAUUUUUUAUGAUUUACCGAAGCUAACGCAACAAUACUGCUUAGACCUAUUAAUAAUAAGAAAUACUUAAACUAGAGUGUGUCAAACUUCUCACCAGUAGCUGGUCAGCCAUGUUUUAAAAGCGAUCCUCUACCCCUUCUUCUUUUCUUAAUUUAUUUCUUUUCCACCCCAGCCUCUACGCUCUUCUUAUGCUUGUUACUUUUUUUUUUGCCUGUAUUUUUGUCUGUUUCUCGGAAGCCCAAGCUGCUUCCAACAUGUAUGCCCAGUUCAUUUAACUUAAUGAAUGAAUCAGCUAGCUCGCUACCUAUUUCUCAAAAAAAAAAAAAAAGAAAUCUUAAACUGAGUUACUAGUACUAUUAUUCUGCGAAUUACCCUUUCCCUUUUUGAGUAUGACUAAUUAGGUGUAAGCCACACUAACGAAAUAAAGUAAGUUAUCAGCAGCUGAGAUAUUGAGUCUUCAGCUGAUAAUUUGCUAGUGCGUCAUUCAACCGAGUUGCAUUCUCUCUAUUUCUAAAAAAGGUUAGUGGUUAUAUAUUUUCAACGCUUUCUCAACAUCUUCCAACACGAAACUACUACUUUUUUCGGUGUGACAUAUGCAAGGAUAUAUAUAUAUAUAUCCUUCAUGGAAAAAGAAACAAUAGAUCUUAUCUUGCUUUACAUGCAUGGGAGAUAUUAAAAAUCAUGGUCAUGUCACCUUCAAAGGAUUAAAAGAAGGUAGGCCUAACAUGUGCAGAUAUAGCUGAUCAUCAUAUAUCCAAUAAUAUUGCUUUAAUUGGUAGUAAUUCAUGCAUGAUUAUGAGUGGUCAUCGGUCCAUGUUUUAAUUGCUGGACCCAUGAAACUAAUGACUAGCUAGUUCGACCAAUGUGUGCGCUAUGUAUCGACGUGUGCCCAACCAUGACCACACUUGUUUCAGGCUCAAUUUUGAGUCGUGAAAUUAAGCAAAUGUUUGGUUGGAGCGCUCUCACUUUUUCUUUUGUGGCCCCAGCGCACGUGCGCGUGCAUGUGUGUGAGCUACUACAUGAAUGCACCUCAUAAGGCCAGGAUCCUUGUAAGGUGAUAUGGUCCACCUUCAAAACAUAAUAUUGGCUCAUCCAGAGUGUAGUAAGUUGCACUUAAUGAGAGAAAGAGAGAGAGAACCUCAUAUAUAUCAGGUGCUUAAAUGCAUGUUGAGCUGGUGAUAGCAAAAACUCAUCUCUCAAUCAUUGAUGCUUGAUUCAUUGCUGAUCCAAUAAAUCUUUUGAAUAUAUGAUGGAACGAUCAUGAUUGAUUUGAUUUAAUGUGAUAUUUAUGAUUCUAUGACGCACGUGGAAUCUUGCUGUUUGAGAAUAAGUGCUCGAUCGAUCGCGUUGUCUUUAAAACAAUUUUUCUAUUCCAAUGAGUGGCAAUCGUGCACUAUUUAACAAACAAAAUUUACUAUGGCAAGAAGUUAAAAUAAACUUUUAGAUUACUAGUUUUCCAUAGCACAUAUAUGCAGGUCCGCCAGAAUUAAUUCUCUCGGCAUCGUUGACGGAUAACAUUCAUGCACAACCAUGAUCUCAAAGCCUAUCGACUUACACCGCGUUUUAGAAUCAGUAAGCUCUUGCAUUAUUUGCUUGAUUUGGUUUAGUGGAUUUAAGAAAUGUUUAAGUAAAUCCUUCAUUUAUUGUAAAAAGAAAAAUUUUGUAAUCAACAAUAGAGUCGGUUACUUACGAUUUACGAACUAGCAUGGUUCUUUGCAGAGUUCCAAUGGACUCGGCACCGCAAACAAGCCACUUGCCGACUUUCUCCUACUCCGAGGAGUCGGCGAGCUUUCGACCUCGGCGCCGUCUUCGUUCAUUCGUAAGCACCAAGAAAACAGAUUGCGGCGGAUGCAUUGAGGAAAUUAUUGGCAGUGCCUGGUUUACCACGUCAGCCAUAGACUGUACAGCAUUUACUGUCAAUCUCUAUAUACGUUUUAAACUUUCGCCCUUCAUUAAAUUUCAUCAUAUCUUUUUUUUUUUAUAACAAUUAUUUACUAUAUAUAUAUAAUUUGAGGAUAAGUUAUAAUUUUAAAUUUAAUUGUAUAGUCAAAUUUUAAUUUUUAAUUUUUUAUAGUUAAACUUAGAACUAAAAAGUUUUAUCUAAUUCCUCUUAUUUUUUUUGCAGUCCACGGAUGACGUGGUGAACUUCGUCCACGCAACAAUUUUUCCCGGAGAAGUAAAGCGGUGCAAGAGAGAGAGAAGCAGAGAACGCUAUAGAACGCCGUAUAAAGGGCGUAGGGGAUUGAACGAAACCGUAACCUUAAACCCUAGGGCAGAGGAGAUCGAGAUCGAGAGAGAGAGAGAGAGAGAGAGAGCAAUGGCGACGGAGAGCUCGGCCAUGGCGGUGAUCAGGGCCUCGCGCCCCUUCUUUCGCAACUCCCACGACAAGGUCGCCUUCGCCGUCCACGCCUCCUUCCUCGCCGCCGGCUACUCCCUCGCCGCCGCCGGGAAGAGCGCCUUCACCGAUCACCUCCCCUCCGGUUGGUAUCAAUUCCCUCCCCGAUCCCAUCUCUCUUUGAAACCCUCGGGUUCCGAUCUAAUUCCUCUUUGUUUGAUUUGUUGUUUGUGUUGCAUUGCAGGGGAGGAGGAGGUGGGAAUCGAUGGGUGGAACGAGCUUGAAGAUCGCUACGCUUUUGUUUACUUUAAGAAUGAGAAGGGGGUAAAAAAGCGAGUUCUGGUCAAGUGCUUGGCGAUUGGAGAUAAGCUCGCUGUAGAUGUGCUGAACCUUGAAGGGGAGCAAAAGGAACCUCUUCAUCUCCAAAUCAAGUAUGGAUUCGUUUGUAAAAAUUGAAACCUUUUCCUUUUUUUUGGGCAAUUUGUGUGGUUAUUGUUGAUUCUGUGUUACUGUUCGUGGUUGCAGUGUGAAGGAUUACUUGUCUGACGAUGGUGUUGAUCAACCGAGAAAUUAUGGGGAUAUGUACAAGGAUCUUAAGGGCCUUGUUGAGAGCUUGAAGUCUAGUGUUUUGGAUAAAUUGGAGGAUGGAUAUGAACGAAAAUUGAAUGCCAAAGUCGAGACCUCUUCAUCUUCUCGCAGGUCUCUUCAACUUGAAAUUUGGAUCUCUGAGUUUAAUAUACUAGUUUUAAUCAUUAAAUUCUUGUGCCAUUUAACUUAUUAGAAAAAUUACUUUGAAAACUGAUUUGAGAAAUGCAUAGAAGCCUCUUAGAGAUAUGUGUUAACGGUGUUAAUUGCUUGGUGAUUUAAGAUUUGUGAUGUGGUUGUUAUGCAACAAGGUUUGUCUGUUUAAAUGUUUUGUAUGUACCAGCGAUAUCUGCUAUGUGACAUUGAUAUAUUAUUCGACAGGUAGACUGGUUUCUUUGUGCAACACCAUUCUCCUUUCAACUGACAAAUCAUGUAUAAACUAUAUAACCAAUUGAGUGUAGUUCAGUAUAAUUGUGGGUUUGUAAAGGUUUAUUAGUUACUUGGUGCUCUAUCACAGAUCAUGCAUUGGAGAUUUGUGGAAGUACAAUAAAAGCAUAACAGUGUAGCAUAAUGCUUUGGCAGUAUUGGGGUAGUUGGGUGUUGGAAGGAGCAACUUUGAAAGAUUUAGGUUAUAAAUUUAGCACAGGAGAGAGAUUAAUUGAUAAUUAGGGAAGUUGAAUAAGGGCCAAGUUUCUGUAGGUAAUUAGUGGGCUUCGAGACAAGAUGUUAGUAGGUGUAGAGGCAUUUGAACUUGUGUCAAAGUGAAUUUGGAAGAAUAUGUGAUAAUUCAUGACAUGAAUGAACAAUAUCACAGGUUGAUAUGCUUUUAAGAAACAUUUCACUUUCUCACGAUACAACUUGAUGCAUGUGUAUUGAGUAGGUCUCUGGUUGGUUGCCCCCCCUCCCUACUAUACUGUGGUUGCAUUCGUGUAUGCUCGUAUAUCAUGAUUAAUUGCUAUUUUUUAUGGCACAACACGACAAUUUUGUGGCUUAUUCUCUGUUUUCCAGUUAUGAAGGGCCUGAUAUAGACUUAAACACUCCUGAAUCGGUUGUGGGAGUUCCAGCUGAGGAUCAGCGUCAACCACCAAAGUAGGUGCUUUGAGUCCUUUUCUGCUUUUUAUUUGCAGUUGCAUGGUAUUCUAGUUCUAUCCUUUAUUUAUUUUCUUUAUAUGAUUGUAAUAAUAAACUUCCAAAUCUGGAUCAACCACAAAUUUAAGGGCAAGUAAAGAUAAAAAGGGAAUGUAUUUACUUGCAAUAACAGUUGUUACUUGCAACAACAGUUGUUACUUGCAAUAGCAGUUGCUAGACGGACUUCUCACUAAGUCAUCAUGAGUAUUCGACUCACAGCCUAGGUCUACCGCUAAAUCUAUGGCACUAGAGGUAGUAAAAGGCUGUGCUCGAGGGGUUCAAAUGUAAAUACAACUGGCAAGGGUAGUGCUCAGUUUGGUCAUCCUCUUAGUGUAUGCAUGUGUUUGUGAACAAGAUGAAGAGAACUGAUACGAAAAGAAUUCAUCAAUUUGCUUGCUAACAACUUUUUACAUGGACACAUCUGAUAAGAAAGAUAUCUAGGAGGGAAAGAAAAGGCCGGGAAUGAGAGAAAAGACAAAUAAGAAUGUCUGAUGUAGAUUAGAUUGACCUUGAGCAGGACCGUUAGCUGAGUUGGCAAUUAAAUGAGUUCUUAGUAAUUUAUUGUGUCGUUGAUUAUAUAUGGGUAAUAAUGUGAUGUCUGCCGUAAGGGUUUCGGAAUUACAAAAGAGAAAUAAAAAUGAAUGUUGACACUUUUAGCUUGGUAUUGCGUCUUAAUUCUCAACCAGUCUGAAUACACUUUAUUUCCCUCUAGCUUUAAUGUUGUUAAUAUUUUUAAUGUGAUUUCACUUUGUUUCAGCUAACAUAUAAUAGAAUUGAAACAUUUUUUUAAUUCAUAUUUGGUCAUAUUUUAUCUUUGUAUGUAGUAUUGUAUAUCCUCCAGUUCCCCCAUUUGACUACAAUGACGCGAUCCCUGGGGCUGGUGCUGGGUUUUAUCCUAACAGGUUUGUUUUCGAGCCUCACCAUAUUUAUGUCGUAUAAUUUACUAUCCAAUCUAUGAUCUCAUAUGAUCAUAUUCAUUCAUUUCAGGGGUCCCGGAAUCGGUGGAGACAUGCUCGUAGGUAAUUAACUUAUUCUUCAGUUAUACAAUAUCGGAUUACUUCAAUUAAUUCUUAGAAAUUUGCUUAAUGCUCUUAUCAUUGCACAGGGCCAAAUAAUCCAAUCUUUUUCCCUCCUGGUGGACGCCCUGAUACUCUAGGUGGAUUGCCGUGAGUAACAUCUAUUUAUUUUUCUGUAUCAUCAAAAUCUGCUUAUCUUGUCCAAAUCUACAGAAUCAUUUUGUAUUAAAGGUACUAAUACAUGUAAAUCUGAUACAGUGGUGUACCUCCUGGUGCUCGGUUCGAUCCCAUUGGUCCUCCUGAUGUUCCAGGCUUUGAGCCUGGUCGCUUUGUCAGGUACACUUCAAUAGAUAUUUAAGCAACUAAUAGAUGAACCAAGUUUUGUGGCCACAAAGUAUUCAUUAUCUGAUGUUCGCCUAUAAGAUUAAAAAAACCAUAGCAUGCUUAUUGUAGACAUUGUUUAUUUUCGCCUGUCUGGUUAUCUUAUAAAUUGCUUCUUAUUUUAAUAUGUUGGUGCGGUAAAUUUCUGUUUCUGAUAAGCCUCUGCUGUAAAUUCUAUGCAGGCGUCAGCGGAGGCCCGGCGGCGGUACUCAUCCAGAUCUUGAAUUCUUCCAACAAGGCCCUGACUUCAUAUAGAGUGUUGCCUCAGUUGCGCGGCAAUUUUGCGUUUUCACCAUGGUUUUGAUGCAUGCAUAUGUUUGCCGCAUAUAUAGCUGACAGACAUAUACCUGACAGACAGUGCAAUAAGUUUCCUUUCUGUUGCAUCUAAAUAUAUGACAAAAAAGAUGUUCUAUGGUGUUAUACUCCUGUGAAUGUGGUGCACUGUGUCCUUUCAUUACCAUGUUCUGCUUUUAGUAGCAUCAUGAACUCUUCUGAGUUCCUUGAGCCAAUUAGGGUGAUCUCUCUUCUUAGAUCCACUUUUGCUUGUGGGACGUCAUCAUCAUUAAUGAAUUUUUAGAGCCUUAAAAGACAGUUUUAUUUUAGUGCUUCUGAUGUGUUUUAUAUGGAGAGAACCUGUUGGUGAGAUAUAUUUGAUAUAUUGCUUCUUUCCUAUUGUAGUAUUUGCGAAGUACUUUUUCUAACAACACUGCACUGUAAAUCAGGCUGGAACAUAAAAGUAAAAUAAAAUUAGCAAGCCAAAAGGCUGGAACAUAAAAAAAAAAAAAAAAAAAAAAAAAAAAAAAAAAAAAAAAAAAAAAAAAAAAAAAAAAAAAAAAAAAAAAAAAAAAAAAAAAAAAAAAAAAAAAAAA